GAUGAACGCUAGCGAUAGGCUUAACACAUGCAAGUCGAGGGGCAGCAUGGUCUUAGCUUGCUAAGACUGAUGGCGACCGGCGCACGGGUGCGUAACGCGUAUGCAACUUGCCUCACAGAGGGGGAUAACCCGUCGAAAGACGGACUAAUACCGCGUACACUCCAUCUUGGGCAUCCAAGGUAGAGGAAAUGAAAUUCGCUGUGAGAUAGGCAUGCGUCCCAUUAGCUAGUUGGUGAGGUAACGGCUCACCAAGACGACGAUGGGUAGGGGAACUGAGAGGUUGAACCCCCACACUGGUACUGAGACACGGACCAGACUCCUACGGGAGGCAGCAGUGAGGAAUAUUGGUCAAUGGGCGAGAGCCUGAACCAGCCAAGUCGCGUGAAGGAUGACUGUCUUAUGGAUUGUAAACUUCUUUUAUACGGGAAUAACAAGAGUCACGUGUGACUCCCUGCAUGUACCGUAUGAAUAAGCAUCGGCUAACUCCGUG
rnacentral:rRNA from 1 species